rnacentral:lncRNA from 1 species
GUGGCCAAGGUGUUCCCGGGGACAUGGUAUGUUUCGAAAAGCUCUCACGUGAAUAAAUAGUAUUAAUGAACAAAAACCUUUAUUGAUUAAGCAUAACCUCAUUUUAUAUUUAGUCGACCGAGUUGGAGUACAGGAUAUAAGAGUAUAAUGCAAGCUGUCAGCCGCCACCAUAAGCUCUCCUCUGUUCCAGUGAAGUAUGCCCUCUCUUCGGGUUCAUACACCUUGUUGUAAAUUAUAUUAAAGGUCUCCACACAAUCCCACCUUUUUGGUCGUAAAUCCAUCUGAGGUGUGUUGUGUUCAUAAACAUCCUCAGACAGCACAGCAACUCCCACUUCCCCUCAUUGAUGUUAUUCCCACAAAUAUAAUUGAAUCACAGUAAUAAACACAAUCAAAGCAGAACAGACACUGUUUUGUAUUGCUCUCAUCAAAAAGAAGUACCGGAUGGCUCUACUGAAUUUACCGAUACCAGAGAAUGAACAAUGAGGCUUUUCUUUUCAGGGCCCUCCUGGAAACACAGGGUCCAAGGGCCAGAGGGGAGAGAGGGUGAGUGGAACCACUAGCCUCUUCUGACCUCACAAACAUGUCCGCCAACACCAACCACCCUGACGCCCGCUGACAACCGUACGGUAGAAGCCGUUGAGUCCACACGCUGGUUGACCCUCGACCCUCUCUGCCUCGCAGGGCGACCCGGGAUACGUGAUCGGGGGCACGGAGGCCGGCUACGUCCCGGGACGGAAAGGAGAACCCGGUUCCUCUGGCCCCCAGGGGCCUGCGGGGGUGCCGGGGGUGUCUGGAGCCCAAGGCCGGCCGGGACAGGAGGGCCUCGCUGGGCCCCCGGGGACAUCCAUCAAGGUACCGUGGCCCCGGGCGAUCCGGGGUUCCUCGCGCUCCGUCAUGGACACCUUGGAUAAGAUCUUCGAGAUGUUUUAAAUCAUGUAACAUGCGUCCUUCAUUGGAGCACUCCACAUGCUGCUUUGUUUCAUCAUGUAUUCAUGUUCUCACGUCACACAGUCGACUCCACACAGUCUGUUGUUACAGCAAGUCCAACGCCAGGCCCCACUCUUUACACGUCACGGGGCCUUGAACCCGACAGCGUUGCCCUUCUCUGGGGUUGGAUUUGCACGAUGUAUUAUCUUGAACUGAG